GACAGCAUUCUUUUUUAUCAUUUUCUUUUUUGCUGUUCAGACACUGUUAAUGGCUUGUAGUUUCCUAUGAUACUAAUGAGGCAGGCUAGUUUAUGACUGUUUUGUUCUCUUUUUUCUAUCUCCUCCCGUGCGCCCUCUGAGCAGAUAGCAGUACUCGUCACAUGUGCUUGCUUCAGGAAACUGGUUGAAGACCACCCUUCCUCCAGCCUUGUAUCCUGACCUUCUCUCCAAAUUACAUCUCUCAGGGAGCAGCCACCCUGCCCUGCUUGUUCCGGUUCUGUUCUCCUUGUGAUCCUCACUUCUGAGAGGUCUCCAUGACCAUAAAUCACAGAUAUUUCUUUCCCUUUAUGGGUCACACCUGGGUAUGUAAAUAUCACAUGCAGUCUGGGGCUGAGCAUCUGAACAUUGGAAAUCCUGUGAUCCAAACUCUGUUUGGUACCUUUCAUGCAUUCUCUCUUUCCAGCAGUUUCAAACUUCUCUGGAAAUGGAGUUUUUCCCAUAAUCCACCAUCCCGUAUCUGCAAUCUUAAAAUCCAAAAGGCUCUGAAAACAGAAAAGGUUCAUAACUUUGCAGCAAACUCACCUGGUAGCAAAAACUUGAUCUGAACUGGGGCGGUUUAUAGUCUUUAUCCUGCUAAGUGUGAUAUUUGUGUUUUGCUUUGGAAAUGCAAAUGUGUUUGACUACAGGGUGCUACUUGUAGACGUCACUGGGGCUGCUAUGAGGUAUGAGGCCUGCGUACUGUAUUAGCUUUUUGAAAUCCAGUGCUUAAUAAAUCACAAAACACCCCAGUGGUUUCAGAUGAGGGAUUUUGGAGCUGUGCUGCUCUUCUGUCUCUAGCACAUGCAGGGCACAGAGACCGUGAUUUUGUGGGCUCCAUGAAGGCACGGAUCACACAGCCUUGGGACCAAAGCUGUGCCUGAUGUGACACAGGUCUCCAUAAAGGUUUGCCAAACAGGCAAGCGGGUGCUUACAAUUUCCCAUGACUGCCACUGAGAUUACGUGUGCCUAAAUAACUUGCCCGUCACUUAAGAGAGACCCUGUAAAUGUCCUUUGAUCAAUUUAUGCCCUGAGACUGUUGUCGACAUUGUCGUUAUUGUCAUGUUCUCAAAUAUUUUUGCCUGAAGAGUUUUCCUGUCUGAGGACUUUUCACAUGUAGAGGAAUUACUUCUCAUUCUUCCUGUUGAAAUUCCUCUCAAAUCUUUUCUGUCAGAGUUGCAAACACACUGACAGCUCCUGAAUGAUCUGAUACAGGAUCCUUAAUAGGCGUGGAAGUGUUCGCCAGACAGAGAGGUCCUGCCCUUGCCGAUCCCAGCUGGUUCUGUGUUAGAGACUCCGUGGGCGUCUGUUUGACAGUAUCUGCCAGGAGCUGCAGAAUAACUUUUCUGAUCUGGAAGAGCAAAUCUCAGAUAUUUUGCACAUUCACAAGUAUUUUAAAACAGUUUCUGUAAGAUGCCAACAUCACCUUUAUAGUAUUUUGAGGUUUUCCAGUGUUUACUGAGAAGAGCUCGGUUGUGUUUAUACCGAAUUUCAGGUGAGUUUCUUGACCACCCUUCUCACUUUACCACCAGCUUUGCUCUGGGCCCCUAACUGUAUCGCCCGAGGAUCCCGUGGAUUCAGGUGACUGGUGCCCUUCAGGUUUCAUUUGCGAGGACCCAUCUACUUCCUGGGACUUUGGCUGGUAUCUUUCUUCUGCUAAACCAGAUUUGCUACUUCCUUUAAGAUUCCAUUCAAAACUCUCUCUUCUCAGGAACCUUUCCUGAAAACCCAACUCCCUAUGCUGAUUUGCUGAUUUUUUCCUUAUGAUCCUUCCCUAUGCCCUUGGUAAAAUGAAGUUUGACAAACACAACUCUAUGGCAAUGAACAUUUGCAUUCAUAUAA